rnacentral:rRNA from 1 species
GAUGAACGCUGGCGGCGUGCUUAACACAUGCAAGUCGAGCGAAGCAAUUUAAGUGAAGUUUUCGGAUGGAUCUUAGAUUGACUGAGCGGCGGACGGGUGAGUAACGCGUGGAUAACCUGUCUCACACAGGGGGAUAACAGUUAGAAAUGACUGCUAAUACCGCAUAAGCGCACAGUACCGCAUGGUAUAGUGUGAAAAACUCCGGUGGUGUGAGAUGGAUCCGCGUCUGAUUAGGUAGUUGGUGAGGUAACGGCCCACCAAGCCGACGAUCAGUAGCCGACCUGAGAGGGUGACCGGCCACAUUGGGACUGAGACACGGCCCAAACUCCUACGGGAGGCAGCAGUGGGGAAUAUUGCACAAUGGGCGAAAGCCUGAUGCAGCAACGCCGCGUGAGUGAAGAAGUAUCUCGGUAUGUAAAGCUCUAUCAGCAGGGAAGAAAAUGACGGU